AACAACUGUAAUUUAUUCCUAAAGCCAUAUUUUAAAAUAAUUACAUUUUUAAAUGGGAAAAGUCGUAUGAAGAAUUCUGUCCCACCUCAAGAUAACUAAACAAUUUUUCAGUAGAAAAAUAAAUCUAAAAACAGAAAAAAAAAUAAAUAUUUUAAAAGUAAAUAAAUCGUACGUAAAGCGAGGCGCAAUUGAGUUUUGUUGCACUAAUACUUUCUUCCUCUCUCUACACCAUUUUGUUUGCAGAAUCGACCUUUUGAAGGUUCCUGGUUUCCCUGCAGUGAGGCUGUCACUCAACCAGAGUCAGGGCCCAGGAGAGAGAGCAGCGAGGGCGCAGGCGCGCAGGGAGGGCUGGGCAUGCGCUCGGCGGGGCCUCGGGCUCCGGGGGAGGCGCACGGGCGGGGCUCGCCGGCACUGAACGCGCUCAGCUUCCCAGGGAGGCGCCGACCCGAGCCCUGCAGUCCACGCGCGUCUGGGGUGUCCGCUGAAAGCCAGAAAGUUGAAGAUCACUUCCCAUCGUGCUUCUGCUGUGCUUUGGGGUUGAAAAAGCCAUUAUGUGGUAAAAAGUGUCUGAAAAGUGGCAAAAGUCUUCAAGGGCCUGAAAAGGACCGAGACAGGAACUGAGAAGCUGGCAGGAGGUCCUGCUACGGCUGCAGGGUCGGCGGGUGUCCUGGGUGGGCCACGCGGCAGGGACAGCCGUGGCUCCACGCCCACCCUACCCGUGAGGGGCCAAGCGCAGACUCGGGGGAGCCAGAGGGGCCGGGCCCCUGAGCGAGGGCUGGUGAAGGAUCCCAAGCUUGGGUACUUGGGAAUGAAGAUGUGUUAUUUCACCCACUGACUUGUCCCACACGACCAAGGCCUGUGCCUGCCCUGAGGGCGAGCUGGUUGAGCCUGGUACAGUCGACUCUCAGAGCGUGGGCCUGGGCUGAACCUUUCCCUGUGAGCAGCAGCGGCAGCAGCGUCUAGAACGAUGGCCCUCCCUGUCCACGGUGGAAGGUGCGGAGCUCGGGUGGUGUGCUGGCAGCCGCUCACAGAAGGGAGAUGGAGGGGCACAGAGCAGGCCCUCGCACGGAGUCAUUGAGGUCCAGGGACACCUUCCUCCCAGGUCAGCUCACAAAGGCACCAGAGAUUAAUCCUUGGAGACAACCAUUCUGAUGUGUCUAAGGCCAUCGACAGGGAACAUGGCUGUCAGGAAACCUCAACUUUUUGAUAAAUGACAACAAAACCUGAAUGCACGAGAAAUGUAUCUAAUUUAAUGCCUGACUUCUAAGCAUCCUUAUUCAAUACAGUUUAUGUAUUUUUUGUUUCAUGAGUAAAAUGUGCAUUGAGCUUC